rnacentral:rRNA from 1 species
GUUGCAUAUAUUAGAGGCACAUGGUGGAUGCCUAGGGAUAUCAAGGCGACGAAGGACGUGACGUGACUGCGAAAAGCCUCGGGGAGGUGUCUAGUAACCUUUGAUCCGGGGAUGUCCGAAUGGGGAAACCCCUUUGCGAGAAAUCGUGAAGAGUCCAGCCGCAAGGUUGGGCGGCGAACCCGCUGAAGUAAAACAUUCUAGUAAGCGGAGGAAAAGACAACACAUUGUGAUUCCCUUAGUAGCGGCGAGCGAAAAGGGAUCAGUCUAAACUCAAUAUCGCAAGAUAUUGGGGGUUGAAAGGGGAUAGCGUCGGGGCUUUAUCCCCCACCCGAUUAUAGGGGGUGGGGGAUGGAGUAUUCGAGGGAGAAUAUAAAGGUUGGUUAGGAGAAUGCUUCUGGAAAGAAGCAGCCAAAGAGGGUAAUAGCCCCGUAUCUGAAAACUACUUUAUGCUCCUUGUUAUCUUUCUUAAGUACCUCGGGACAUGAAUAGCCCGUGGGAAGCAGGCCGAACUAAUCGGCCAAGACUAAAUACUUGAUAUCACCGAUAGUGAACCAGUACCGUGAGGGAAAGGUGAAAAGAAGCCCGAUGAGGGCAGUGAAAUAGAUCCUGAAUCCAUGGUGCCUACAACGAGUCGGAGCUCUGACGCAAGUCAGGGUGACGGCGUGCUUUUUGCAGAACGAGCCAACGAGUGUACUUAGGUGCUACGUCUAAGCCCUUCUGGGGCGGAGGCACAGCGAAAGCGAGUGUGAAUAACGCGAACAAUUAGCUCCUAUGUACGACCCGAAGCCAAGCGAGCUUGCCAUGACCAGGGUGAACCCCGACGAAAGUCGGGGGGAGGCCCGAACCCGUGAGCCGUUCAAUACUCUGGGAUGAGUUGUGGUAAGAAGUGAAAAGCUAAUCGAGCUUGGUAAUAGCUGGUUCUCCCCGAAAUAGUUUUAGGACUAGCGUCGAUUGCAGGUCUUGGAGGUAGAGCUCUGGAAAGAAUAUUUUGGCGCAAGCCAGAUAUUCUUACCAAACUUCGAAUGCCAGGAUCAUAAGGAUCGGCAGUAAGAACGUGGGGGCUAAGCUCCACGCUCAAAAGGGAAACAGCCCAGAUCUUCAUCUAAGGUCCCUAAAUCAAGCUAAGUGCAAAACGAGGAAGUGGAAUUCCACAGAUAGCUAGGAGGUUCGCUCAGAAGCAGCUAUCCUUUAAAAAGUGCGUAACAGCUUACUAGCUAAGGAGUUCUGCGCCAAAGAUUUACAGGGGCUAAGCUUGAUACCGAAGACAAGAAUAUGCACCUCGUGUGCAUAUGGUAGGGGAGCGUCCUUGUUGCGCUGAAGCGGAAGGGGAACCUUCCGUGGAGCGACAAGGAGUGAGAA